UGUACCGUCUUAAUAAAUGUGAUAGUACAGGUAAAUGUAAGCAUUUAUUGGUGUGGAUUCGAUAUCCGUCAGAGUUUCAAUGUUAUACGGAUUAAGUGAAAUAAUAAUGGCAGUCUGCUUUUAUUCAAAAAGGUACAAAAUAUCGUAUAGAAAACAUAAUCGAUGUGUAAUGUGUAAAUAAUGUUAAGUUAUAAUGUUAUGUAAUACUUGGCGCCAAAACUUUUAACUGUGGACUCUGAGUUCCAGGAUUUAAUGACAAAGCUGGCAAAACCUAACGCAUUGUGAAUGGUAUUUUAAUUAAAAUGAAAUGUACCUGUACAUGACAAUAGAAACGGAAAAUAUAGUUACAAUCAAUAACGCUAAAAUAAUAGUGAUUAUAAACACUCCUCGUGUUAUCUUCCCUGAGAAAAAAAUGUCGUAUGAGUAUUUUACCCAGAUCACCUAUGUAAGAGACAAGCACGCAAGCAUUACGUCAUUCUUAAAAGUUAUGCUAAAUAAGGCAAAGCAAAUUAUGCUGAUUUUCGGCAGACGAGUCUAUAAUUUGAACUCUCAAACGUCAAAAACAAACUGUACAUAUACCGACGUAUUUUCGGACAGAACUAGGGUAUUUUAAUAACAAAUACAAAAUUCUCAGAUGCAGACAAAAAUUCAAUGGUCGGAUUAUUUGUGUUAGCUGUGACGUCAAAUACGCUCAGCUGCUUUAUGAUAAAGUUCAGCACAGAUUACAUGCGUACACCAGUUCGAUGGAUAUAAUGAAACACAGUUUAAAUGCAGCAGCAAUAAAAUGUGUUGUGGAGAUCAGUGUUGCGGUAUUGAUAUCACCCUAAACCCUCUUUUCUGCACAUACUGAUGACAGUCUUCUCAGUUUGGAGCAGAAGUCUAGUUGUUAAGAUGUAGUCCUCUCAGUCGGAGUGUCUGGGGCUCGGGCCUUACUGUGAUCAAGACCGCACCUUCUCAUAUGACACCUAGGACUGGUAAUUUCAGGAAGUGGAAUCUACAGAGGUUCAAAUAAGGCUUUCAUAAAACAGAUUAAUUUUAACCAGUUUGAUUUCAGUUCUUCUUGUUAUUUUUUUCGUAAAUUUGUUUUAAUAUGUGUUAAUUAAAUUUAUACUACAUCAAAAUAUACAUACGGAUUAUAUAAUUGACAAGUUUAUUUAUAUUAAUAGUACAUUUACAGUACUGAAUAUUCGGUUUAAAAUUGUACAAAUUAUAUAGCUAAACACAAUAUAUAUGUAUAUUACCGCUAAACACUGGAACAGUUUAACAAUCAUGUGCUACUGCAUCUAAUCUAAAUUUGAAUGUAGCUCUACAUACACAAUUUAUUUAUAUAUUUAGUGUAAUUAUAAACAGUUGAAGAGGACUUCCUUCAUUUAAAAUAAAGAUCUAAAGAUAAAAGUUGAAGUGGAUAUCCUUGGGACACCGGGCACAUUUUGAUGCAAUCUCGCCAGGCAUAUGUAUGUUUUUGACAACACAGAAAAUGACGUCACUCGACCUUCAGCUAUUUCCGGAAGUAAAGGAAAUGGAAGUAGACAUGCAAAACUUGAAAACGAAAGUCGUCUUUGGAUUGGUCGAUAGUCAGGGGUCACGCGCAGGGGUCACUCCGUCAAAAUGUAUGCGCGUGGACUUCUUCUUUUUAUUUUUCGUUUUUUUUUUGUUUUUUUUUUUGUUUUUUUUUUCCUUUUUUCCUAAUGCGGAGUCAAUUUUCAGCAUUUUCUAACGAUUUGAAAAUACCUGAGCUUUAGCACAACAUGUCAGCUUUUCAUCUACGAAAACAUAUUUGAACUCGGAAUAAACACAAAUUCCACAGGUGUCCGUAACGGAGCAAGGGUACAUAGAGAUUUUUGAAACUUCGUCAAAUCGCUCAAAAGGUCCUUUUUGAUGUUGUCUGAAAUUCUCAGUAUAAGCCUCUGGUGUAAGAUAUUUCGUAUCUGAGAGCUCCAGACCUAGACAUUUCAGAAAUAUUUUCAAAAUGAAUUUCGUAUAAUAAAUAUUGAUUCUACGGAAGCGUGAAAGGGCCAUCAAACGCUAAUACGUUUUGUCACGUUACAGGUGCUGAAAGGAUAAUUAUCUACGGAAGUUUGUUUAGGAAAUUUCAAUCUUGUAUCAUAUCCGUAAAAUAUGAAAGUGAAAAGUAAUAAAGGCAAAUUAAGAUUCUUCUGUUUACCCUUAGAUAGUAAAAUUAUAAAAAAAAUAAUAUCUACCAACACAUCAUUAUAUUGUAACCAGCAUUGGCAGGCAUUGAAGUAUACUAACAAAUAUAUAUGUAUGACCUAUCCUACCCUCUUGAGAACUACACCGUAUUUGAAACUAUAUGCAGGAUAUAAACAAAUAUUUACAUUUAUAUAAAGGGCUGUCGACGGGAGCUCAAACUAGAUUGAAAACCUUCCAUAUAUGGUCACAAGAGUGAAAUAUCCGUAGCCCAACUUCCUUUCACCUCUCCUCAAGUCCUGGAGCUAGCAGGUGUAUUGUUUCAGUAAAUCGUGUCAAGCUAUAGCUCAGUAAUACACUGCAUGCAGUGGACCUCCACUAGCAGGUGUACUCACACCUGUAUAUUUAUAUUGUAACUGCUAAUGUCUACCUUUCUCCGCCAUAUCAGCUCAAAUUUGAUCGUAAACAAUAGUGACAUUUUUAAGAACGAACGCUGCCCGAUCAUCUUAUACACCAUCAAGUCCUACCCGAUGUUGUUUAUUUAUAUGAGAGACAAACACUUCAUUGUUUUACUUAUACUCUUCAAUAUAUGUAACGUAUAAACUCAAUAAGAUACAAUCGUGAACUACUCACUAUAUGGUUAACAUUAUUAUUAGAUACCUGCUGUAGCACUUAAGUUACGCCCUGAAGGCGUGGUUUCAUGUGUUUAUUAUACAUGAUAUAUAUCAUUUUCUUCCCUUUUUAAUUUAAAGGUCACAACAUUCAAAUAUUAGUAAAAUGUAACAUAAGCAUAAUGUUGAAUUCAACAAAAGAAAAAUAUGAAUGAAAUAUUUCCAACAAUGAUUCAUUUCUGUAACAUUUCCAACGUACUUGUUUACUUGAACUAAUCUGUAGUAAAAUGAGAUAUGUCCUCGGUUUCAGCAUAUUGUUCUAAUUACAUUUAAGAUUAACAUAUCAAGUAAUUGUUUUUAUCUUGGGGAUGUAAUAUCACACUGUUCCUACAUAAUCACACUUUAAUCAAAACCGUAUCUGUCUGGAGGUUUCUUUUUGUCCCGUAAUGGGUACCUCCUCUCAGUACCACUGUCCUGUUUACUGCUUAUUACGGCAGGUGACUUAUCAGUUUUCUCCGCAUUAUCUUGUUUCUCAUGAUCAGUACUUAUAUCACGCGGCAUGUUCUGAACUUCUGGGAUGUAAGUAGAAUAAUUUUACAGUAAUUAUUUUGAUAAAUCCGUGUCAAUUUCAUGCGGCUGAUUUGUCAAUUGCGAUUCAUUCAUUUCAGUUUUUAAUCCCCCGCCGUGGCGGAGGGAUUAUAGGAAUGGUCUGCGUCCGUCCUUCCGUUCUUCCGUCCGUCCGUCCUUCCGUCCGUCCUUCCGUCUGUCCUUCCGUCCGUAACAAAAUCGUGUCCGGUCCAUAUCUCCUAAACCCCUUGAAGGAUUUUCAUGAAACUUGGGUCAAAUGAUCACCUCAUCAAGACGAUGUGCAGAACCCAUGAGUCAGCCUUGUCGGUUCAAGGGCAAGGUCACAACUCAAGGUCAAAGGUUUGAGCCUGCCAUUUUGUGUCCGCUUUAUAUCUCAUAAACCCCUUGAAGGAAUUUUAUAAAACUUGGGUCAAAUGAUCACCUCAUCAAGACGAUGUGCAGAACCCAUAGUCAGCCUUGUCGGCUCAAGGUCAAGGUCACAACUCAAGGUCAAAGGUUUGAGUCUUCCAUUUUGUGUCCGCUCUAUAUCUCCUAAACCCCUUGAAGGAAUUUUAUCAAACUUGGGUCAAAUGAUCACCUCAUCAAGACGAUGUGCAGAACCCAUGAGUCAGUCAUGCCGGCUCCAGGUCAAGGUCACAACUUAGGGUCAAAUGUUUGAGCCUUCCAUUCUGUGUCCGCUCUAUAUCUUCUAAACUCCUUGAAGGAUUUUCAUCAAACUUGGGUCAAAGAUCACCUCAUCAAGGCGAUGUGCAGAACUUAUGAGUCAGCCAUGUCGGCUCAAGGUCAAGGUCACAACUGAAGGUCAAAGGUUUGAGCCUUCCAUUUCGUGUCCGCUAAACCCCUUAAAGGAAUUUUAUAAAACUUAGGUAAAAUGAUUACCUCAUCAAGACGAUGUGCAGAAAUUAUGAGUCAACCAUGCCAGCUCAAGGUCAAGGUCACAACUAAGGGUCGAAGGUUUGAGCCUUCCAUUUUGUGUCCACUCUGUAUCUCCUAAACCCCUUCAAAGAUUUUCAUCAAACUUGGGUCAAAGGAUCACCUCAUCAAGAACUCAUGAGACAGCCAUGUCAACUCAAGGUCAAGGUCACAACUGAAGGUCAAAGGUUUCAGCUCUGUAUCUCCUAAACCCCUUGAAGGAUUUUCUUGAAACUUGGGUCAAAUGAUCACCUCAUCAAGACGUUGUGCAGAAUUCAUGAGUCAGCCAUGUCAGUUCAAGGUCAAGGUCACAGCUAAAAUCAAAGGUUUACCCUUUCACUAUCCAUAGCAGUGGCGGGGGAUUUAGCUGUCCUUCAGACUGCCUUGUUCUUAACUGAUUCGCAUGUCUCCGUCAUAGUAUCUUAUAACCUACAUCUAUCUCAUACAUUAGCCGUCCAUCACGAGAAAUUAUUAUACCGCCUAUCUACUUUCCUUCACCGCGGUAAUCACGCGCUAGAACAUUUUCACCGAUUUCAAGUUCACGGUAUUUUCUGUCGUCGGAAAAUGAAGAUUUCAUUUGGUUAUCAGACAUAUCGUUUUGUUUCAGGUCUGACAAGAUCUAGCCUACAUCAUAAAUUUCUACCCAUUAAAAGUUUCGCGGGCGACUCAUUAGUUGUACUGUGUGGUGUGUUACGAUACCGUAAAAGAAAACAAUUAAGUUUCUGAUUGAAAUCCCCCGUUUCGAAAUGCAUAACUCGUAUACCUGCCUUGAAAGUAACUACAACUUGACAAGUACCUUUCUGCAAGUCCGUUUGUACUUGGAUUGUAUGGCGCAGAUUUAAGAUGCAAAAUACCAUUAUCUUUCGUAAAUUUUGCAAAAAUAUCUGAUAAGAACUGAAGUCCAUCCGCACUAACAAUGUGUGUAGGUAACCCGUUUUAAGCAAACACUGUACGCAAAACAUAUACUGUUCGUUCGGAUGUAAUACUUUUCAUUUCAAUAACUUCUGGCCAUUUCGAAUACGCGUCUACAAUUAUUAAAAACAUUCUACCUAACAAUGGUCCGGCGAAAUCUAUAUGUACGCGCUCCCAAUGAGAACUCGGCCAUUCCAAAGGGUGAAGGUUAAUAGCUGAACGUGCCUUCUGCUGACAGAUCUCUUUCAAUAACAUCCCACCAUACAUAGCUUCGCGCUAGAUUUUUCAUUUACACUAUGCCUGGAUGGUUAGCAUGUAACACAGCUAAAAUUUGCUGGUAUGACCACUCGAAUUCCCCAAAUGAGACAUCCACGUCGGAUUGAUAAUUCACUUUUUUAAUUGGAAUAUGCUUUCAAGAGUGAAUCAUUUUCAUCUGACUUCCAACCGUUUUGAACAUUUUCAAAUACGCGUGAUAAAAUGUUUAUCUCGACGUGUCUCACGUGCUAUUUGAGCGCUAGUGACCGGUUACUGCUUGAUUUGAGAAGUGUUAAACACAUCCUCUCCAUCAUUACAAUCAUUUUGAUCUGUACGCACGGGUAAACGCGACAAUCCAUCGACAUUCAAAUUUUUCAUUGUACUCUUAUACUCUAUGUCAUAAUCAAAACCUUACAGACAUAUAGCAUAUCUCUGUACGCGUACCACUGUCGUUACAGGUAUGUUUCUCUUCGGACUGAAUAUAGAUAAGAGAACUGUUACGAAAUUUUCAUGACUGUGUUAAUUCACAAUCAGCAAUCUACAAUACUAAUUUAGAAAUGGUAAACAGCAUUUAGCAAAUAGCAAAUGGAAAAUUGCAACUGGCAUGUCCCAAGCUGCUUUCUAUUAUCACAAUGAAUUUAUAUGUUUAAUAGAAUUCCACUGAAGCCUGUGCUACGGGGCAUGAGACGUGUUUCAUAUUCUGUUACCUCAAAUCCCACCGAGUCUGAUAUUGUUUUACAUGGUUGCGUUCUAUACAUUAUAUGGGUAUUCUAAUAAAUCUUACAAACAUUUGACUAAUGGAAAACUCUGACA